GGGCCCGUAGCUCAGGGGUUAGAGCAGUCGGCUCAUAACCGAUUGGUCAUUGGUUCAAAUCCAAUCGGGCCCA
rnacentral:tRNA from 1 species